rnacentral:rRNA from 1 species
AUGUCAGAUCGCCGUGUCGGGGGGAGCAGCAAUCCGUCUGCCCCGGCCAAGGGGGUAGGACAGAAGCCUGCUGCUUUUGCUGGGCGGAAACCAACUGCGCCUGCAUCAAAGGAGCAGGCCCCCGCCCCCAAGCCCACCAGAUCCAGAGCUUCAACUGCUGGAUCUGCUCAGGUACAAUCGUCUCAAUCUGUAGAGGUUGAUGUGGAGCAAGUUCUUGAUCCUAGGUAUAAGGAUAUGAUAUGUUUUAACUGUGGUGGACCGGGACACUAUGUUGGGAAUUGUGUGAAGCCGAAAACCUGCUUUAUCUGUCAGCAAAACCACAACGUAAACAACUGCGCAGCGUGGUCUAAUAUUCAACCUACUGCUUCCUUUUUCGGUAGUGGAGCUCAAGGUCUUGGUUUCUACCAUGUGGAUGUACCUAUUGCAAAUGAAUCCAAAUGGUAA